rnacentral:rRNA from 1 species
GAUGAACGCUGGCGGCGUGCCUAAUACAUGCAAGUCGAGCGAACAGAUGAGGAGCUUGCUCCUCUGACGUUAGCGGCGGACGGGUGAGUAACACGUGGAUAACCUACCUAUAAGACUGGGAUAACUUCGGGAAACCGGAGCUAAUACCGGAUAAUAUAUUGAACCGCAUGGUUCAAUAGUGAAAGACGGUUUUGCUGCCACUUAUAGAUGGAUCCGCGCCGCAUUAGCUAGUUGGUAAGGUAACGGCUUACCAAGGCAACGAUGCGUAGCCGACCUGAGAGGGUGAUCGGCCACACUGGAACUGAGACACGGUCCAGACUCCUACGGGAGGCAGCAGUAGGGAAUCUUCCGCAAUGGGCGAAAGCCUGACGGAGCAACGCCGCGUGAGUGAUGAAGGUCUUCGGAUCGUAAAACUCUGUUAUUAGGGAAGAACAAAUGUGUAAGUAACUAUGCACGUCUUGACGGUACCUAAGCAGAAAGCCACGGCUAACUACGU